rnacentral:guide_RNA from 1 species
CAAUGCUAGAUUAGAGUGAAUUAAGUUAUGUAAAUU